rnacentral:rRNA from 1 species
GGAUGAACGCUGGCGGCGUGCUUAACACAUGCAAGUCGAACGAAGCACUUUAUUUGCUUUCCUUCGGGCCUGAUUAUUUUGUGACUGAGUGGCGGACGGGUGAGUAACGCGUGGGUAACCUGCCUUGUACAGGGGGAUAACAGUUGGAAACGGCUGCUAAUACCGCCUAAGCGCACAGCAUCGCAUGAUGCAGUGUGAAAAACUCCGGUGGUAUAAGAUGGACCCGCGUUGGAUUAGCUAGUUGGUGAGGUAACGGCCCACCAAGGCGACGAUCCAUAGCCGACCUGAGAGGGUGACCGGCCACAUUGGGACUGAGACACGGCCCAAACUCCUACGGGAGGCAGCAGUGGGGAAUAUUGCACAAUGGGCGAAAGCCUGAUGCAGCGACGCCGCGUGAGCGAAGAAGUAUUUCGGUAUGUAAAGCUCUAUCAGCAGGGAAGAUAAUGACGGUACCUGACUAAGAAGCACCGGCUAAAUACGUG